rnacentral:rRNA from 1 species
CCAAUAGCGUAUAUUAAAGUUGUUGCAGUUAAAAAGCUCGUAGUUGAAUUUCGGGAUCAAUAUAUCGGUCGUGCCAUCGGUACGUACUGGUAUGAUUGGUUUCUCCUUUCUGACGAACCAUGAUGUCAUUAAUUUGGUGUUAUGGGAAGUUAGGACUGUUACUUUGAAAAAAUUAGAGUGUUUAAAGCAGGCUUUAGCUUGAAUACAUUAGCAUGGAAUAAUGAAAUAGGACGUUCGAACCUAUUUUGUUGGUUUCUAGGAUCAACGUAAUGAUUAAUAGGGAUAGUUGGGGGCAUUAGUAUUCAAUUGUCAGAGGUGAAAUUCUUGGAUUUAUUGAAGACUAACUACUGCGAAAGCAUUUGCCAAGGAUGUUUUCAUUAAUCAAGAACGAAAGUUAGGGGAUCGAAGACGAUCAGAUACCGUCGUAGUCUUAACCAUAAACUAUGCCGACUAGGGAUCGGAUGAUGUUAAUUUUUUAAUGACUCAUUCGGCGCCUUACG